UACGUAGGGGGCAAGCGUUGUCCGGAUUUAUUGGGCGUAAAGAGCGUGUAGGCGGCUUUGCAAGUCCGUUGUGAAAACUCGAGGCUCAACCUCGAGACGCCCGUGGAAACUGCAAAGCUAGAGUCCGGAAGAGGAGAGUGGAAUUCCUGGUGUAGCGGUGAAAUGCGCAGAUAUCAGGAAGAACACCCGUGGCGAAGGCGGCUCUCUGGGACGGUACUGACGCUGAGACGCGAAAGCGUGGGGAGCGAACAGG
rnacentral:rRNA from 1 species